GAAGGUUACUGUUCUACCGCUGCAUUUUUUAAUUAAAAUGAAGAGGAAAGUCCGGGCAACAUAGAGCACCAUACUUCCUAACGGGAAGGCUCAUUUAAUUAUGAGACAGAAAGUGUUACAGAAAAUAACCGCCGAGUUUUAUUAUUCGGUAAGGGUGAAAAAGUGAGGUAAGAGCUCACAGAUAUUAGUGGUGACAUUAGUAUUGAAUAAACCUUAUGGGUUGAAAGACCAAAUAUACCGAGGCUUGAGGGCUGCUCGCCUAAUCUCGGAGGGUGGGUCGUUAAAGAAUAGAAGUGAUUCUUAUUCGUAGAUAAAUGGUAGAAACUCUUUAUAGAGAACAGAACCCGGCUUAUAGGUAACCUUUUCUG
rnacentral:RNase_P_RNA from 3 species